UCGGAUUGUAGGCUGAAACUCGCCUACAUGAAGCUGGAAUUGCUAGUAAUCACAGGUCAGCAUACUGUGGUGAAUACGUUCCCGGGCCUUGUACACACCGCCCGUCACACCAUGAGAGUUGAGAAUACCCGAAGCCCAUGUCAAAGUGGUCGAAGGUAGGCUUGAUGAUUGGGGUGAAGUCGUAACAAGGUACC
rnacentral:rRNA from 1 species